UACGUAGGGGGCAAGCGUUGUCCGGAAUCAUUGGGCGUAAAGAGCGUGUAGGCGGCCCGGUAAGUCCGCUGUGAAAGUCGGGGGCUCAACCCUCGAAUGCCGGCGGAUACUGUCGGGCUAGAGUCCGGAAGAGGCGAGUGGAAUUCCUGGUGUAGCGGUGAAAUGCGCAGAUAUCAGGAGGAACACCAAUGGCGAAGGCAGCUCGCUGGGACGGUACUGACGCUGAGGCGCGAAAGCGUGGGGAGCAAACAGG
rnacentral:rRNA from 1 species